rnacentral:rRNA from 1 species
ACGAACGCUGGCGGCGUGCUUAACCCCUGCAAGUCGCACGGAAAGGCCCUGCUUGCAGGGUACUCGAGUGGCGAACGGGUGAGUAACACGUGGGUGAUCUGCCCUGCACUUCGGGAUAAGCCUGGGAAACUGGGUCUAAUACCGGAUAGGAGCCAUUUUUAGUGUGAUGGUUGGAAAGUUUUUUCGGUGUAGGAUGAGCUCGCGGCCUAUCAGCUUGUUGGUGGGGUAAUGGCCUACCAAGGCGGCGACGGGUAGCCGGCCUGAGAGGGUGGACGGCCACAUUGGGACUGAGAUACGGCCCAGACUCCUACGGGAGGCAGCAGUGGGGAAUAUUGCACAAUGGGCGCAAGCCUGAUGCAGCGACGCCGCGUGGGGGAUGACGGCCUUCGGGUUGUAAACUCCUUUCGCUAGGGACGAAGCUUUUGUGACGGUACCUAGAUAAGAAGCACCGGCUAACUACGUG